UACAGAGGGUGCGAGCGUUGUUCGGAAUUAUUGGGCGUAAAGGGCGCGUAGGCGGUGCGGUAAGUCACCUGUGAAAUCUCCUGGCUCAACUGGGAGCUUGCAGGCGAAACUGCCGUGCUGGAGUGUGGGAGAGGUGAGUGGAAUUCCCGGUGUAGCGGUGAAAUGCGUAGAUAUCAGGAGGAACACCAGUGGCGAAGGCGGCUUCCUGGACACCAACUGACGCUGAGACGCGAAAGCGUGGGGAGCAAACAGG
rnacentral:rRNA from 1 species